GACGAACGCUGGCGGCGUGCCUAAUACAUGCAAGUCGAACGCUGAAGGAGGAGCUUGCUUCUCUGGAUGAGUUGCGAACGGGUGAGUAACGCGUAGGUAACCUGCCUGGUAGCGGGGGAUAACUAUUGGAAACGAUAGCUAAUACCGCAUAAUAGCAGUUGUUGCAUGAUAACUGUUUGAAAGGUGCAAUUGCACCACUACCAGAUGGACCUGCGUUGUAUUAGCUAGUUGGUGGGGUAACGGCUCACCAAGGCGACGAUACAUAGCCGACCUGAGAGGGUGAUCGGCCACACUGGGACUGAGACACGGCCCAGACUCCUACGGGAGGCAGCAGUAGGGAAUCUUCGGCAAUGGACGGAAGUCUGACCGAGCAACGCCGCGUGAGUGAAGAAGGGUUUCGGAUCGUAAAGCUCUGUUGUAAGAGAAGAACGAGUGUGAGAGUGGAAAGUUCACACUGUGACGGUAUCUUACCAGAAAGGGACGGCUAACUACGUG
rnacentral:rRNA from 1 species